rnacentral:lncRNA from 1 species
AACACUCAAGUUUCCACACUCUCUCACUUCCGAUCUCCCAUACAAUAAAGCAACUGCACAUCUCUCUUUCGACCGUGCGCUACCAACUGGAACCGUCGUCUCCCUCACUUUCCAUUCGGUACUCAUGGGUUUCCUCCCUUUGUUUUAUUUCUUGAGUUUACUUUUUCAUUAUAUGAGUUUUUGUUGGUGAAUACUAGCUUUAUCUGAGCUUUGUUAUCUCAUAAACAAAGUUUAAAUUAGAUAAUAUAGUUGCUGUAUUUUAUUUAUUUAUUUAUUCUUUCUAAUUUAUUUAGUUUUAAUUAAAACAUGAAUAAGAAAGAUGGAAGUAAAAAUUUUGAAAGUUAAGUUUACAGAAAGAGAUCGUGAGAGAUGAGAAACAAUGAGACUUUUUUUUUUUCCAUUUUAUUUUGGUUGUUGUAUUUAGUUUAUCUUAGUUUUAUUUAAUAUAUUUUAUAAAAAAAAAAAAAAAAGAGCUGGUCAUGUAUCCAUUUUUUAUUGGUUUUGUUUGGCCAUUGUUUUUUGAAAGAGUCAAUAUUAUCAGGCUAAUUUAGUUACAGAUUAAAAUCAAUUUUGGUUGAAGCAACUCCCCCACACGUUUGGUUGGGUUUUUUAUUUUUAUUUUUUUUAUUCACUAUUAUUAUUUAUUAAUGACCAUUAUUAUUUUAAUUAUUACUAUUAUUAUUAUUAUGAUUAUUUUGUGGAUGAUUAUUAAUAUUAUUAUUAUUAUUAUUAUUAUUUAAGUAAAUUGAUUUUUUUUAUUUUUUUGAAAAUC